UACGGAGGGUGCAAGCGUUGUUCGGAAUUACUGGGCGUAAAGCGCGCGUAGGCGGCUUUGUAAGUUGGGAGUGAAAUCCCGGGGCUUAACUCCGGAAUUGCUUUCAAAACUACAAAGCUAGGGUAUGGCAGGGGACAGUGGAAUUCCUAGUGUAGAGGUGAAAUUCGUAGAUAUUAGGAGGAACACCAGUGGCGAAAGCGACUGUCUGGACCAUUACUGACGCUGAGGCGCGAAAGCGUGGGGAGCAAACAGG
rnacentral:rRNA from 1 species